rnacentral:rRNA from 1 species
AUGACGGCCUUCGGGUUGUAAACCUCUUUCAGCAGGGACGAAGCGCAAGUGACGGUACCUGUAGAAGAAGGACCGGCCAACUACGUGCCAGCAGCCGCGGUAAUACGUAGGGUCCGAGCGUUGUCCGGAAUUACUGGGCGUAAAGAGCUCGUAGGUGGUUUGUCGCGUUGUUCGUGAAAACUCACAGCUUAACUGUGGGCGUGCGGGCGAUACGGGCAGACUUGAGUACUGCAGGGGAGACUGGAAUUCCUGGUGUAGCGGUGGAAUGCGCAGAUAUCAGGAGGAACACCGGUGGCGAAGGCGGGUCUCUGGGCAGUAACUGACGCUGAGGAGCGAAAGCGUGGGGAGCGAACAGGAUUAGAUACCCUGGUAGUCCACGCCGUAAACGGUGGGUACUAGGUGUGGGUUUCCUUCCUUGGGAUCCGUGCCGUAGCUAACGCAUU